rnacentral:rRNA from 1 species
GACGAACGCUGGCGGCGUGCCUAAUACAUGCAAGUCGAACGCAUUUUCUUUCACCGUAGCUUGCUACACCGAAAGAAAAUGAGUGGCGAACGGGUGAGUAACACGUGGGUAACCUGCCCAUCAGCGGGGGAUAACACUUGGAAACAGGUGCUAAUACCGCAUAAUUCCAUUUACCGCAUGGUAGAUGGGUGAAAGGCGCUUUUGCGUCACUGAUGGAUGGACCCGCGGUGCAUUAGCUAGUUGGUGGGGUAACGGCCUACCAAGGCUGCGAUGCAUAGCCGACCUGAGAGGGUGAUCGGCCACACUGGGACUGAGACACGGCCCAGACUCCUACGGGAGGCAGCAGUAGGGAAUCUUCGGCAAUGGACGCAAGUCUGACCGAGCAACGCCGCGUGAGUGAAGUAGGUUUUCGGAUCGUAAAACUCUGUUGUUAGAGAAGAACAAGGAUGAGAGUGGAAAGUUCAUCCCUUGACGGUAUCUAACCAGAAAGCCACGGCUAACUACGUG